rnacentral:rRNA from 1 species
CCUACGGGUGGCAGCAGUGGGGGAUAUUGCACAAUGGGGGAAACCCUGAUGCAGUGACGCCGCGUGUGGGAAGACGGUCCUCUGGAUUGUAAACCACUGUCCCCAGGGACGAAGAUGACGGUACCUGGGGAGGAAGCUCCGGCUAACUACGUGCCAGCAGCCGCGGUAAUACGUAGGGAGCGAGCGGUGUCCGGAAUUACUGGGUGAAAAGGGAGCGUAGGCGGGACUGCAAGUUGGGUGUCAAAUCUACCGGCUCAACCGGUAGCCGCACUCAAAACUGCAGUUCUUGAGUGAAGUAAAGGCAGGCGGAAUUCCUAGUGUAGCGGUGAAAUGCGUAGAUAUUAGGAGGAACACCAGUGGCGAAGGCGGCCUGCUGGGCUUUUACUGACGCUGAGGCUCGAAAGUGUGGGGAGCAAACAGGAUUAGAUACCCGAGUAGUC